UUGACUAUCUUGCAGGUUAAGAGUUGAUCAUGAGAAAAUUUUGAUAAUGUGUUGAAGGGAGCAUCAGUAGAAGAUGGUAGGAGUAUUGCAGUUCUUCGAUUUCGGUCAAACCAGCUCCUCCCGUAAGUUGCUGGCACUCAAUCGACACAAUAGUGGUCUUGAACCUCCUAGAAAUAGCUUAGAGGUUCCUCCUAUGAAUACUUAUCAUAAUUUUCAACUGGUUCAUGAAGACAUUCAAUGCUCAAGUUACUAUAAAGAGGACAUUUGCCAACAAUCUCACACCAAAAAAUUGAUUGCUGUUGAAAGGCUCCACAGAACAAAGGAUUAGCAUAAUAGACCCAGUGUUGUGGCUCGAUUAAUGGGAAUGGAGUCACUGCCUUCAGACACCAAGCCUACUAUACAUCAAUUCAUCAAUAAGUCUCUAUCAGCUUUGGGAGAUGUGAUCUCUGCUCUUGCCUCCAAGAACCCACAUAUUCCAUAUAGGAACUCUAAGCUAACACAUUUGCUCCAGAGCUCUCUAGGUGAGAAAAAACCUUAAGAAUAGUAAACAAUCAAACUCCACAA